CCUACGGUGGGCAGCAGUGGGGAAUAUUGCACAAUGGGGGAAACCCUGAUGCAGCGACGCCGCGUGCGUGAAGAAGUAAUUCGUUAUGUAAAGCUCUAUCAGCAGGGAAGAAAAUGACGGUUCCUGAGUAAGAAGCCCCGGCUAACUACGUGCCAGCAGCCGCGGUAAUACGUAGGGGGCAAGCGUUAUCCGGAUUUACUGGGUGUAAAGGGAGCGUAGACGGCAGUGCAAGUCUGGAGUGAAAGGCGGGGGCUCAACCCACGGACUGCUCUGGAAACUGUACGGCUUGAGUGCAGGAGAGGAAAGUGGAAUUCCUAGUGUAGCGGUGAAAUGCGUAGAUAUUAGGAGGAACACCAGUGGCGAAGGCGGCUUACUGGACUGUAACUGACAUGGAUGCACGAAAGUGUGGGUAGCAAACAGGAUUAGAUACCCGGGUAGUC
rnacentral:rRNA from 1 species